rnacentral:rRNA from 1 species
AUUGAACGCUGGCGGCAGGCCUAACACAUGCUAGUCGAGCGGUAGAGAGGUGCUUGCACCUCUUGAGAGCGGCGGACGGGUGAGUAAUGCCUAGGAAUCUGCCUGGUAGUGGGGGAUAACGCUCGGAAACGGACGCUAAUACCGCAUACGUCCUACGGGAGAAAGCAGGGGACCUUCGGGCCUUGCGCUAUCAGAUGAGC